rnacentral:tRNA from 1 species
CAAAAUAUAGUAUAUUUAAUACCCCCCACUUACAAUGGGAAAAAGAUUUCAUCUAUUUUGU